AGUCCUAACUUUGCACAAACUACUUUCUCUUUCAUCUGUCUCCUGAGGAAUGGCAACCUUUCUAUGAAGAUUAAGAGAAUCUAGGUUUCUUGGUGGAGAAUCCUAUGAGAAAAGGAAAAGGGAACUAGUCAUCAAGAGUAGAGGAGUGGGGGGAUUUGUUGCUGUUUUUAAAGCAGAGGGCUCCCUGAGGCUGCCAACAGCUGUUGACAGUUGGGAUGGAAAGAUGGAGAGGAGGCCGGAACCAGGAGGCAAAGCGGUGAGUCUAGCAGGGGUCCUCAAACUCCCGCCGGGGGCCAGAUGCGGCAGCUGAGGACGAUUAUCCCCCUCACUCAGGGCUAUGAAGUUUCUUUAUUUAAAGGCCCACAAAACAAAGUUUUUGUGUUUACUAUAUAGUCCGGCCCUGCAACAGUCUGAGGGACAGUGAACUGGCCCCCUACUUUAAAAGUUUGAGGACCCCUGCAUAGAGCGCUGUCUUUUUAAGGCUCUCCGAGGUUUGCCUGUGCUCAUGAAGUGGGUGGGUGCAGCGGGCACUUCAGAGAACCGGUUGAGUAAAAGCGUCCUUCCCAACAAACGGAAAAAAGAUAUUGGGAAACAAGGGAGUUGGCAAACUAGGUCUAAAGUUACGGAGCACCGCCCAAGGAGGGACGCGGCGUGCUAUCGAAGGACCGGAAUCCUAAGCCCCGCCCACAGAGACAAACCCUCCUUCCGAUUGGCAGAGCACCGGGGGCCCCAGUCUUCUCUGUGGCGAUUGCUCAAAGUUCCGAAAGAAGGGUGGCUCCCUAAAGGAACUAGGGGAUUGUUAAAUUACUUCUCGAUUACUCUGGGAGGGCCUAAAGGCAGCGAAGCCUUUUCUGAGCGUCGCUCCUGUUUCCGCAGGUGGAGAAAAGGUUGUUAUGCUGGGACCUGUUUUGUGUGACUGUGUGCAUGUAUAAAUUUGGGAUCGGGCACAUUAAAUCAUGUAUAUAAAGUGCUUCAAAAGACA